rnacentral:tRNA from 1 species
UAUAUUUAAGUGUUUAAGCACUAAAGUUUUUGAAAUUUUAAGUAAUAGAUAAAUCUAUUAAAUAUAA